rnacentral:misc_RNA from 1 species
UCGUAACAAGGUCUCCGUAGGUGAACCUGCGGAGGGAUCAUUACUGAGUUUUUAACUCUCCAAACCAUGUGAACUUACCACUGUUGCCUCGGUGGUCGGUGCUGGAAACAGUGCUGCCACCGGUGGACUACUAAACUCUUGUUAAUUUUUGUCAAAUCUGAAUCAAACUAAGAAAUAAGUUAAAACUUUCAACAACGGAUCUCUUGGUUCUGGCAUCGAUGAAGAACGCAGCGAAAUGCGAUAAGUAAUGUGAAUUGCAGAAUUCAGUGAAUCAUCGAAUCUUUGAACGCACAUUGCGCCCAUUAGUAUUCUAGUGGGCAUGCCUGUUCGAGCGUCAUUUCAACCCUUAAGCCUAGCUUAGUGUUGGGAGACUGCCUAAUACGCAGCUCCUCAAAACCAGUGGCGGAGUCUGUUCGUGCUCUGAGCGUAGUAAUUUUUUAUCUCGCUUCUGCAAGCCGGCCAGACGACAGCCAUAAACCGCACCCUCUCGGGGGGCACUUUUUUAAUGGUUGACCUCGGAUCAGGUAGGAAUACCCGCUGAACCUAAGCAUAUC